rnacentral:tRNA from 1 species
UAAGAGUUGGUGUAAUUGGUUGCACAGGAGGUUUUGAGUCUCUUGGUUCAGGUUCGAGUCCUGAGCCCUUAG